rnacentral:rRNA from 1 species
GUCCACGCCGUAAACGAUGAAUACUAGGUGUUGGGGAGCAUAAGCUCUUCGGUGCCGGCGCAAACGCAUUAAGUAUUCCACCUGGGGAGUACGUUCGCAAGAAUGAAACUCAAAGGAAUUGACGGGGACCCGCACAAGCGGUGGAGCAUGUGGUUUAAUUCGACGCAACGCGAAGAACCUUACCAAGUCUUGACAUCCCGGUGACCGGUCAGUAACGUGACCUUUUCUUCGGAACACCGGUGACAGGUGGUGCAUGGUUGUCGU